AAAAUAAAAACAUUUGUACUGUAGACAGCAGGGGCUCUUGGGCUUAAUUAUCCUGCCGAGGUAAUGCGAUAAAUUGGCUGAAACGCUUCAGCUUUAUGCUGCCUCCAUGUCUUUGUUUGAUAUGGAGGUUUUUUAUCUGCCUG
rfam:Bacillus sp. MTM 116 43, whole genome shotgun sequence.